rnacentral:tRNA from 1 species
GCGGGCGUGGCGAAACGGUAGACGCAGCGGACUCAAAAUCCGCCGUAGAAAUACGUGUCGGUUCAAGUCCGACCGCCCGCACCA